UCAAUUCCACCUGCGUGCGCAAAUCUUUUUCUAGUUGCAAGGUGGUAGUCUCUCCUUCUUCCUGAAUAAGACAAUGUACCACUGUUAUAAGAUUCCAAGUGAAUUCCUUCAAAGGAAGAGAAAGACAAGAGAAGGCGGCUAGGAUGACAGACUUUCAGUUAAACUUACAAGUCAGUCAACUCAUGGUCAACAGAAAAUGGCACAAAGGUUUUCCUAAGGAAGGUCCCCAUGAAGAAAAGUGAAUAGGUACCAGGGUACUUUUUUCCCCCUAAUUAAAAAAAUUGUGGUAGAAUACAUAUAAAAUUUACUUUCUUAACCAUUAAGUGUGCAGUUCAGUGGUAUUAAGUGUACCAUUCAUUGGUAUUAAGUGCAGAGUUCAGUGGUAUUAAGUAUAGCAUUCAGUGGUAUUAAGUGUACCGUUUGGUGGUAUUAAGUGUAGAGUUCAGUGGUAUUAAGUGUACCGUUCAGUUGUAUUAAGUGUAGAGUUCGGUUGUAUUAAGUGUACCAUUCAGUGGUAUUAGGUACAGCUGUAUUGUUAUGCAGCCCUGACCAUCACCUCCAAACACAUUUCCUCUUGCAAAAGUGAAAUUUCAUACUCAAACAGUAAGUCUCCAGUUUUUCCCUUCCCCAAGCCUGGCAACCACCAUUUUACCUUUUGUCUCUAUGAUUAGACUUCUCCAGGCACUGGGCACUUUUAUGAAAAGUGUAAAUUGGCUGGAAAGCUUGCUUUGGGUUAGCUGCAGGGUGGUAUGACCAGCUCAUACCUAAAUACUCAGCCUUCUAUGGACAUCAUCACAUCAUCUCACCUUACCAACAAAACCCAUCUAGUCAUCCCUGCCAUACUCCUAACUGGUAACCAGGAAGAAAAAGUGGCAU